rnacentral:lncRNA from 1 species
CCUUAGAGAUAAUGAAGUCUAUUGCACAGAAAGAAACUGGAAUCAGGCUGUUUAUUGACUGCAGAGAAGUAGCGUCUCUUGAAUGCAACAAACUUCACAUCCAUCAAAUUCUUAACAUGAACCAGGUUCUUUGCUUACAUUCGCAUAGGCAUAUCGGUCUGGUUUUACUUGUCAGGAGGGACUGAAGAAAGCACAGGACGUAAGUUCCUCCAAGAGCAUUCUUGGAGCAGCAUCUCAUCGCUGUCCUUGGGUGUAGCCUCCCUUUUGUGAGGUUCACUCCCUCAGCUGGAGGAUGAACCACAGUGCUGCUGCAGACCUAGCUGAUGUCACAGUUGUUCAAAAGGUUCCUCUUGAAGAAUGAAAUCCUUGGGCUGCCAUUAGGAACUGCAUGCAGUUAAGCCGUAUAACCUCUCUGAUUUUUAGUUUCUCCAUCUAUUUUAUAAAAUAAAACAUUGAAC